rnacentral:rRNA from 1 species
AGCAGCCGCGGUAAUUCCAGCUCCAAUAGCGUAUAUUAAAGUUGUUGCAGUUAAAAAGCUCGUAGUUGAAUUUUGGGUCUGGCCGGGCGGUCCGCCUUCUGGGUGAGUACUGUUCCGAUGUCGGGCCUAUCCUUCUGGUGAAUCGGCAUGCCCUUUACUGGAUGUGUCGGGGAACCAGGACCAUUACCUUGAAAAAAUUAGAGUGUUCAAAGCAGGCGCAUGCUCGAAUACAUUAGCAUGGAAUAAUGAAAUAGGACGCGUGGUGCUAUUUUGUUGGUUUCUAGAACCGCCGUAAUGAUUAAUAGGGAUAGUUGGGGGCAUUAGUAUUCAAUUGUCAGAGGUGAAAUUCUUGGAUUUAUUGAAGACUAACUUCUGCGAAAGCAUUUGCCAAGGAUGUUUUCAUUAAUCAAGAACGAAAGUUAGGGGAUCGAAGACGAUCAGAUACCGUCGUAGUCUUAACCAUAAACUAUGCCGACUAGGAAUCGGGCGAUGUUAUUUUCACGACUCGCCCGGCGCCUUAUG